rnacentral:rRNA from 1 species
CUUCGGGGAUAGCGGCGAAAGGGUGAGGAACGCGUGAACAAUCUACCUCGAAGUCCGGAAUAGCCCUGGGAAACUGGGAGUAAUGCCGGAUGUGACCGAGUCCUCGCAUGUGGACUUGGGGAAAGGCUUGCCGCUUCGAGAUGGGUUCGCGCCCCAUCAGCUUGUUGGUGAGGUAACGGCUCACCAAGGCUGCGACGGGUAGCUGGUCUGAGAGGAUGGUCAGCCACACUGGGACUGAGACACUGCCCAGACUCCUACGGGAGGCUGCAGUCGAGAAUCUUCCGCAAUGCGCGAAAGCGUGACGGAGCAAUGCUGCGUGUGGGAUGAAGGCUUUCGGGUCGUAAACCACUGUCGCCCGGAAAAAAUAUAUGAUGGUACCGGGAAAGGAAGUCACGGCUAACUACGUGCCAGCAGCCGCGGUAAUACGUAGGUGGCGAGCGUUAUUCGGAAUUAUUGGGCGUAAAGGGUCCGCAGGGGGUCCGUCGCGUCUGGUGUGAAAGCCCAUGGCUCAACCAUGGAACUGCACUGGAUACGGACGGACUAGAGGUCUGGAGAGGAAAGUGGAAUUCCUGGUGUAGCGGUGGAAUGCGUAGAUAUCAGGAAGAACGCCGACAGCGAAGGCAGCUUUCUGGACAGUACCUGACCCUCAUGGACGAAAGCCGGGGGAGCGAACAGGAUUAGAUACCCUGGUAGUCCCGGCCGUAAACGUUGUAGACUCGGUGUGGGUGGAUUUGGUCCCAUCCGUGCCUUAGCCAACGCGAUAAGUCUACCGCCUGGGGAGUACGGCGGCAACGCUAAAACUCAAAGGAAUUGACGGGGGCCCGCACAAGCGGUGGAGCAUGUGGCUUAAUUCGAUGCAACGCGAAGAACCUUACCUGGGCUUGACAUCUGACGGCUUCUCUGUGAAAGCAGAGUUUCCUUCGGGACUGUCAGACAGAUGCUGCAUGGCUGUCGUCAGCUCGUGUCGUGAGAUGUUCGGUUAAGUCCGGCAACGAGCGCAACCCGUGUCACUAGUUGCCAGCGAGUAAUGUCGGGGACUCUAGUGAGACUGCCCGUGUUAAGCGGGAGGAAGGUGCGGACGACGUCAAGUCAGUAUGGCUCUUACGCCCAGGGCUGCACACGUGCUACAGUGGCCGGUACAAUGGGAAGCCACGCCGCGAGGCGCAGCGAAUCCUUAAAGCCGGCCCCAGUUCGGAUUGGAGUCUGCAACUCGACUCCAUGAAGCCGGAAUCGCUAGUAAAGGCGCAUCAGCCACGGCGCCUUGAAUACGUUCCCGGGCCUUGUACACACCGCCCGUCACAUCAUGGAAGCCGGUUGUUCCCGAAGUCGCUGACCCAACCCUUUUGGGAGGGAGGCGCC